CCAACUCUUGCAGUAGAAUCAUCCAAACGAAUAGAAUGCCAAAACAUGUUCAUAUAAAAAUCACGAAAAAUCGUGUAGGAUGUACGCUGACCUGCACUAUUCGAAGUCCUUGCGACUGCUGCUGGAUCGUUGUCGCACCAACAGUAUGCUGUACUGGCUGUUGCUUGAGCGUGGCACCGACGUUCCCGUGGAAUCAUCGACGUGACCUAGGCAGCAAUUUGGGUGUGAUGAAUUUGAUUCGGAGCUGAAAUUCGCUAGCGUAGGUGCGGUCGAUAUCGCGACUCAAAUUGCUCAAGUCCGUGGAUAAUUUUGAAGGAUUCUGCUUUUUAAGGUUCUAGAAACGGCGGCAAUUAUUUAUAUUGUGAGUGGAGAUCCACAGUUGCUAUUUAGAAGGGUUUCCACUGACGGAUUGCCUGCACAGUUGUUCAAGUUGUGAAGGAUUUUCUAUUCUGAUUUUCAGAGGACCCAAGCUUAAAUUGAAUCAAGACCUAAUUUCUCCGUUCCUCGAUGUGAUGGAGAGCUACGAGGCGACAGUACUGCGCUAGAACUCUUCAGUUUCUGAAGUUUUACCAGGAAGCUUUUCAAAAUUCAGUUUACUUCGUUUGCAUGUGAGAAGAAAUCCGGAGCCUACCUUGUCGUAAGCUCUGCAGGUGAAGGGGCAUCUGCUGUUGACAUCAUGUCUUGGCUCUCGUUCAUGGGGUCAAUUGCAUCAGACUACAUCGUGAAGGUUGCAACGCUAAAGAUAAAUCCAAUUCCCAUAUUGAGCGUACAUUACGUUGUGUUUUCUCGUUUCUUGAUCAUUGAUACUCGGAAUCUUUUUUGGGGAAAAAGUAUCUCCUCUCCACCGUGACAUGCUCUGCCGACUCAACUACUGUAGAGUUCGUUGCAACUGGUCGCUUUGGCCAUCACUGCUGAUGCUAUUCCUUUUGGUGAUUGGUGCCUUGUUCUCGGGUUCUAGUCGAUUUUAAGAACGACUGCUGUAAACAAGAUGCAACCACAAAUUUCUUGUAACCCAUAUCAUGAGUAACUUGCAUUUUCAGAUGACCAAACGUAGGAUUAGAGCCCUGAUUAUAGACCACUUAGAUGGACGCAUGUUAUUUGAAGUUCAAUAAAAUUCUUACAAUUCAUUUUAUUAUUA